AUUGAACGCUGGCGGCAGGCCUAACACAUGCAAGUCGAACGGUAACAGGAAGACGCUUGCUUCUUUGCUGACGAGUGGCGGACGGGUGAGUAAUGUCUGGGAAACUGCCUGAUGGCGGGGGAUAACUACUGGAAACGGUAGCUAAUACCGCAUAAUGUCGCAAGACCAAAGAGGGGGACCUUCUGGCCUCUUGCCCUCGGAUGUGCCCAGAUGGGGUUAGCUAGUAGGUGGGGUAACGGCUCACCUAGGCGACGAUCCCUAGCUGGUCUGAGAGGAUGACCAGCCACACUGGAACUGAGACACGGUCCAGACUCCUACGGGAGGCAGCAGUGGGGAAUAUUGCACAAUGGGCGCAAGCCUGAUCCAGCUAUGCCGCGUGGAUGAAGAAGGCCUUCGGGUUGUAAAGUACUUUCAGCGGGGAGGAAGAGAGUAAAGUUAAUACCUUUGCUCAUUGACGUUACCCGCAGAAGAAGCACCGGCUAACUCCGUG
rnacentral:rRNA from 1 species